UACGGAGGGUGCAAGCGUUGUCCGGACUUAUUGGGUUUAAAGGGUGCGUGGGCGGACCUGUAAGUCAGUGGUGAAAGCCUGCGGCUUAACCGUAGAACAGCCAUUGAUACUGCAGGUCUUGAAUCAGGUCGAGGUAGUUGGAAUACGUAGUGUAGCGGUGAAAUGCUUAGAUAUUACGUAGAACACCUAUUGCGAAGGCAGAUUACUAGGCCUGAAUUGACGCUGAGGCACGAAAGUGUGGGGAGCAAACAGG
rnacentral:rRNA from 1 species